UCCUCAGUAGCUCAGUGGUAGAGCGGUCGAGUUGUUAACCGAUUGGUCGUAGGUUCGAAUCCUACUUGGGGAG
rnacentral:tRNA from 1 species